GGAGACCGACGGCCAGGUGCGGACGUAGACGGUACAACUUCGUCGGGUACUUGUCUGUAGCGUAUUUCAAGUUACAUUUCCAAGACCCGAAGACGAGGUUGACCAUGCAUUCAUCAAAGCCGCAGCGGAUUUGUACCCUCCACCUCUUUAAGGAAACCAGGUAACAAGGUUGAGCCAUGAACUUUCUCCUACAGUUUGCCUUGUAAUGUGGGUAGAUGGAGGAUUGCUGAUCCAUCACCUGAUGAGAGACGCGAGUAGCACAGUGAUGGGUGUGGUACUCAAAUGCUGUUCUUCUGCAAGUUGUUGUCAGCAAAGCUAAAGAACUCUAUAUUUGUCCAAGAGUUCCCGUUAGUCCACAGAGCCAUACAUCACUUCCGGCACAUGCUGGUAGGAUGAUAAUUCUUGGUGCAGACAAACCAUCAACUGUUGGUACACACCACCAUAAAGGGAGAUGGGUGGUCAGCAAGAUAGCAGCAUUGCCUAUCAUUGAUAGCCGAACACUCCUGCACUUCAGAUACUUGAAGCUCUUAACAACAACGUAGCCGACGCCCUUUCCCGAAAUACAGCAGCUUUGACAGGGGAACCCUGCCCUUGAGUGGAAAGACCCAUCAAUCAAUGAUGGUGAGAUGACCACCCCCUGCAAGAAGAGUUUCGAAUGGCCUAGCCAAUACCUACUGUUAAGGUUGAGAAAGAAAGCCUUCAACCUUGCCCACAACCUGCUUUGUCAGUCGGGUAGAUUCACUGCCCGAACCCUGUCUGAGCAGUACAUCUGACAGGGAAUGAAGGCAAGACAUCAAAAAGUGGGCAAGAGAAUGCCUCAUGCCAAACAAAAAAACAACAAAGCACACAGAAACGUGGAUAGUUCCAGACAACACAGCGACGACAGCAACACCAGAUGGCCAGAAGCAAUACAAGUACAACAGCAGACAGAGAUUACAGAAGUACUAAAACAGGCUAGGCCAACCGCAAUAUAUAACUAGCCACAGAGCAGCCAACUUCACCUUCACUUUAUGGAACUCCCUUGCUGCCAGCCUCGUGACAAACAUCUUCACAUAAAAGCAUACAACCCAGAAGAGAUCAGCAUGGUGGAGUGGCUGCACUGCUCCCUUAAAUCGGUACUCUCUGCCAGAUCAAGGCAGGAGUUGGAGAAAGGCAUUGUGGGUCUUGCUGGAACUGAGAACAGACCAGCAUGCAGCAUUCAAUGCACUGCUGGCAGAAGCACUCUACAGGCAAGCAUCGACAACACCAGUGGACAUUCAACAGAACCCACAGCUCUUCCAGAUAUCCGUAGAGCAUUGGAAGAGGUCAAGCUGGCGAAGACAACAUACGAAGUAGAGAUUAAAUAUGUCCCUGAAGACCUUGGAAAAGCAGAAUAUGCAUUCAUAUGAAUAGAUGCAUACAAGCUCCCGUCUCCAGCCUACUCAGGACCACACCGCAUUCUGCAAAGAAGUGUUUGUAUCAGCCAAUAGUCAAUAGGAGGAUUAUCAGUGUCUCCACUGACAGAUUAUAUAACCAGCCUACAUCCUAAGCAGCAACCCACCCCAGGCCUACUUUCAAGGCAUCCUCGCAUCAAAACAAAAAUGUAAGUGAUGGACCAAGCACUCCCUAGAAACACAUUUAGCACUCCAGUUUCAAGUGAUCUGUUAUGCAUUUUUCAGAGGCUACUUUGACUAUGUCACUGUUAGAACUGGUAUUACUAACACAUGGUUGGGAAGCUGUGGGUCUUGACAUAUGUAUAUUCAUUUGAAAUAUCUUCCAAAAUGGUGUAUAAAUUGCAACAUUUGUCAGGUGUGAGAAAGCACAUCUGACUGUUCUUGACCUGUCAAGGAUAAUUAGUGUCAAUAAAUUUGAA